rnacentral:rRNA from 1 species
AGUCGAGCGGUAGCACAGGAGAGCUUGCUCUCCGGGUGACGAGCGGCGGACGGGUGAGUAAUGUCUGGGAAACUGCCUGAUGGAGGGGGAUAACUACUGGAAACGGUAGCUAAUACCGCAUAACGUCUACGGACCAAAGUGGGGGACCUUCGGGCCUCACGCCAUCAGAUGUGCCCAGAUGGGAUUAGCUAGUAGGUGGGGUAAUGGCUCACCUAGGCGACGAUCCCUAGCUGGUCUGAGAGGAUGACCAGCCACACUGGAACUGAGACACGGUCCAGACUCCUACGGGAGGCAGCAGUGGGGAAUAUUGCACAAUGGGCGCAAGCCUGAUGCAGCCAUGCCGCGUGUGUGAAGAAGGCCUUAGGGUUGUAAAGCACUUUCAGCGAGGAGGAAGGGUUCAGUGUUAAUAGCACUGUGCAUUGACGUUACUCGCAGAAGAAGCACCGGCUAACUCCGUGCCAGCAGCCGCGGUAAUACGGAGGGUGCAAGCGUUAAUCGGAAUUACUGGGCGUAAAGCGCACGCAGGCGGUUUGUUAAGUCAGAUGUGAAAUCCCCGCGCUUAACGUGGGAACUGCAUUUGAAACUGGCAAGCUAGAGUCUUGUAGAGGGGGGUAGAAUUCCAGGUGUAGCGGUGAAAUGCGUAGAGAUCUGGAGGAAUACCGGUGGCGAAGGCGGCCCCUGGACAAAGACUGACGCUCAGGUGCGAAAGCGUGGGGAGCAAACAGGAUUAGAUACCGUGGUAGUCCACGCUGUAAACGAUGUCGAUUUGGAGGUUGUGCCCUUGAGGCGUGGCUUCCGGAGCUAACGCGUUAAAUCGACCGCCUGGGGAGUACGGCCGCAAGGUUAAAACUCAAAUGAAUUGACGGGGGCCCGCACAAGCGGUGGAGCAUGUGGUUUAAUUCGAUGCAACGCGAAGAACCUUACCUACUCUUGACAUCCAGAGAAUUCGCUAGAGAUAGCUUAGUGCCUUCGGGAACUCUGAGACAGGUGCUGCAUGGCUGUCGUCAGCUCGUGUUGUGAAAUGUUGGGUUAAGUCCCGCAACGAGCGCAACCCUUAUCCUUUGUUGCCAGCGAUUCGGUCGGGAACUCAAAGGAGACUGCCGGUGAUAAACCGGAGGAAGGUGGGGAUGACGUCAAGUCAUCAUGGCCCUUACGAGUAGGGCUACACACGUGCUACAAUGGCGUAUACAAAGAGAAGCGAACUCGCGAGAGCAAGCGGACCUCAUAAAGUACGUCGUAGUCCGGAUUGGAGUCUGCAACUCGACUCCAUGAAGUCGGAAUCGCUAGUAAUCGUAGAUCAGAAUGCUACGGUGAAUACGUUCCCGGGCCUUGUACACACCGCCCGUCACACCAUGGGAGUGGGUUGCAAAAGAAGUAGGUAGCUUAACCUUCGGGAGGGCGCUACC